CGUGGGUAACCUGCCCAAGAGAUCGGGAUAACACCUGGAAACAGAUGCUAAUACCGGAUAACAACAGAUGAUGCCUAUCAACUGUUUAAAAGAUGGUUCUGCUAUCACUCUUGGAUGGACCUGCGGUGCAUUAGCUAGUUGGUAGGGUAACGGCCUGCCAAGGCGAUGAUACAUAGCCGAGUUGAGAGACUGAUCGGCCACAUUGGGACUGAGACACGGCCCAAACUCCUACGGGAGGCAGCAGGG
rnacentral:rRNA from 1 species